CAACCUGAGCUCGGUCGUGAUUACCCGCUGAACUUAAGCAUAU
rnacentral:rRNA from 1 species